rnacentral:rRNA from 1 species
GAUGAACGCUGGCGGCGUGCUUAACACAUGCAAGUCGAACGAUGAAGCCCAGCUUGCUGGGUGGAUUAGUGGCGAACGGGUGAGUAACACGCGAGUAACCUGCCCUUGACUCUGGGAUAAGCCUGGGAAACUGGGUCUAAUACUGGAUAUGACUUCUCAUCGCAUGGUGGGGGGUGGAAAGAUUUAUUGGUCUUGGAUGGACUCGCGGCCUAUCAGCUUGUUGGUGAGGUAAUGGCUCACCAAGGCGACGACGGGUAGCCGGCCUGAGAGGGUGACCGGCCACACUAGGACUGAGACACGGCCCAGACUCCUACGGGAGGCAGCAGUGGAGAAUAUUGCACAAUGGGCGCAAGCCUGGUGCAGCGACGCCGCGUGGGGGAUGACGGCCAUCGGGUUGUAAACCUCUUUCAGUAGGGAAGAAGCGAGAGUGACGGCACCUGCAGAAGAAGCGCCGGCUAACUACGUG